rnacentral:rRNA from 1 species
GGAAUCUUCCACAAUGGACGCAAGUCUGAUGGAGCAACGCCGCGUGAGUGAAGAAGGGUUUCGGCUCGUAAAGCUCUGUUGUUAGAGAAGAACGUGGGUAAGAGUAACUGUUUACCCAGUGACGGUAUUUAACCAGAAAGCCACGGCUAACUACGUGCCAG